UAUCUUUGUGUUUGAGGGAGAAAAUGUCCUGUAAGCAAAUGUAUAAAAAUUAUUUCUAUUCAGUUGAAGGGGGAGGUCGAAGUGGGCUUGUUGUUCCAUC